rnacentral:lncRNA from 1 species
CCAUUGCACCCAUUUGAAUUCAUGAGAAGGAACUUCUCUUGAAUUUUUCCUCACGCCAAGCCCUCUCCAUGCCCCACUUUAAUGUGCUAUAUGAAUGGAUAAGGAUGAUUGGUUGGCCAUUCAAAUUCAAAAUAAUGUUUGAAUUUGAAUGGGCAAUCAAUCUUUGCACCUUAUCCCUUUUUUUACGCCCCAUUUAUUACAUGAGAAAAGGUUUCUCAUGAAAUCACUCCA